UCGGGAAUCUUGGACAAUGGGCGCAAGCCUGAUCCAGCCAUGCCGCGUGAAUGAUGAAGGCCUUAGGGUUGUAAAAUUCUUUCGUGGGGGACGAUAAUGACGGUACCCCAAGAAGAAGCUCCGGCUAACUUCGUGCCAGCAGCCGCGGUAAUACGAAGGGGGCUAGCGUUGUUCGGAAUUACUGGGCGUAAAGCGCGUGUAGGCGGACCGUUAAGUCGGGGGUGAAAGCCCAGAGCUCAACUCUGGAACUGCCUUCGAUACUGGCGAUCUGGACCCAAGUAGAGGCGAGUGGAAUUACGAGUGUAGAGGUGAAAUUCGUAGAUAUUCGUAGGAACACCAGUGGCGAAGGCGACUCGCUGGACUUGUGGUGACGCUGAGACGCGAAAGCGUGGGGAGCAAACAGGAUUAGAUACCCCCGUAGUCC
rnacentral:rRNA from 1 species